rnacentral:rRNA from 1 species
UACGUAGGGUGCAAGCGUUGUCCGGAAUUAUUGGGCGUAAAGAGCUCGUAGGCGGCCUGUUGCGUCUGCUGUGAAAUCCCGGGGCUUAACCCCGGGCGUGCAGUGGAUACGGGCAGGCUGGAGGCAGGCAGGGGAGAACGGAAUUCCCGGUGUAGCGGUGAAAUGCGCAGAUAUCGGGAGGAACACCGGUGGCGAAGGCGGUUCUCUGGGCCUGUACUGACGCUGAGGAGCGAAAGCGUGGGGAGCGAACAGG